rnacentral:rRNA from 1 species
UACGUAGGGCGCAAGCGUUGUCCGGAAUUAUUGGGCGUAAAGAGCUCGUAGGCGGCUUGUCACGUCGGGUGUGAAAGCCCGGGGCUUAACCCCGGGUCUGCAUCCGAUACGGGCAGGCUAGAGUGUGGUAGGGGAGAUCGGAAUUCCUGGUGUAGCGGUGAAAUGCGCAGAUAUCAGGAGGAACACCGGAGUGGCGAAGGCAGGUCUCUGGGCCGAUACUGACGCUGAGGAGCGAAAGCGUGGGGAGCGAACAGG